AAUGAACGCUGGCGGCGUGCCUAACACAUGCAAGUCGAACGAGAAAGUCCUUCGGGAUGAGUAUAGUGGCAAACGGGUGAGUAACACGUGAAUGAUCUGCCCUUUAGUGAAGAAUACCCUCGAGAAAUCGAGGUUAAUACUGCAUAAGCCUGAGGUAAAACUUAGGGAAAGCUGGCCUCUUUGCUAGCGCUGAAGGAUGAGUUUGCGGUCUAUUAGCUAGUUGGUAGGGUAAAGGCCUACCAAGGCAAUAAUGGAUAGCCGGCCUGAGAGGGUGUACGGCCACAUUGGGACUGAGAUACGGCCCAGACUCCUACGGGAGGCAGCAGUGGGGAAUAUUGCGCAAUGGGGGAAACCUUGACGCAGCGACGCCGCGUGGAGGAAGAAGGUCUUCGGAUUGUAAACUCCUGUUAAGUGGGAAGAAAUGGCAAAAUUUAAUAAAUUUUGCAGCUGACGGUACCACUAGAGAAAGCACCGGCUAACCUCGUG
rnacentral:rRNA from 1 species